GAUGAACGCUGGCGGCGUGCCUAAUACAUGCAAGUCGAGCGAACGGACGAGAAGCUUGCUUCUCUGAUGUUAGCGGCGGACGGGUGAGUAACACGUGGAUAACCUACCUAUAAGACUGGGAUAACUUCGGGAAACCGGAGCUAAUACCGGAUAAUAUUUUGAACCGCAUUGUUCAAAAGUGAAAGACGGUCUUGCUGUCACUUAUAGAUGGAUCCGCGCUGCAUUAGCUAGUUGGUAAGGUAACGGCUUACCAAGGCAACGAUGCAUAGCCGACCUGAGAGGGUGAUCGGCCACACUGGAACUGAGACACGGUCCAGACUCCUACGGGAGGCAGCAGUAGGGAAUCUUCCGCAAUGGGCGAAAGCCUGACGGAGCAACGCCGCGUGAGUGAUGAAGGUCUUCGGAUCGUAAAACUCUGUUAUUAGGGAAGAACAUAUGUGUAAGUAACUGUGCACAUCUUGACGGUAUCUAAUCAGAAAGCCACGGCUAACUACGUG
rnacentral:rRNA from 1 species